ACUUAUAUAGUUUAGAAAAAACAUUACAUUUUCAUUGUAAAAACAAAAAAAUAUUUUUUAUAAGUA
rnacentral:tRNA from 1 species